rnacentral:rRNA from 1 species
AUGAAGGCGCUCAUCCUCGUCGGGGGCUUCGGGACCCGCCUCCGGCCUCUCACGCUCAGCUUCCCCAAGCCCCUCGUCGAUUUCGCCAACAAGCCCAUGAUUCUGCACCAGAUUGAAGCCUUGAAAGAUGUUGGGGUUACAGAGGUUAUUUUAGCCAUCAACUACCGCCCAGAGGUCAUGAUUAAUUUCUUGAAGGAUUUUGAGGAUAAGCUUGGCAUCACAAUCACAUGCUCCCAGGAGACUGAACCCUUGGGAACUGCUGGUCCUCUUGCCCUGGCAAGGGACAAGCUUGUGGAUGGAUCUGGCGAGCCAUUCUUUGUCCUCAACAGUGAUGUCAUAAGUGAAUACCCAUUUGCUGAGCUCAUACAAUUUCACAAGAGCCAUGGCGGUGAGGCAACAAUUAUGGUCACUAAGGUGGAUGAACCUUCGAAAUAUGGUGUUGUGGUUACGGAGGACACAACUGGAGUUGUGGAAAGAUUUGUAGAGAAGCCAAAAAUAUUUGUAGGCAACAAGAUCAAUGCAGGAAUUUACCUGUUAAAUCCAUCUGUCCUGGACCGCAUCGAAUUGAAGCCAACUUCAAUUGAGAAAGAGGUCUUUCCUCGAAUUGCGGCUGAUCAAAAGCUGUACGCCAUGGUCCUUCCAGGCUUUUGGAUGGAUAUUGGUCAGCCAAGGGACUACAUCACUGGCUUGCGUCUUUAUCUAGAUUCACUCAGGAAGAAGUCAGCUGCCAAGCUGGCUGCCGGAGCACAUGUUGUUGGGAACGUCCUGGUGCACGAGAGCGCCAAGAUUGGGGAGGGUUGCCUGAUUGGUCCUGAUGUUGCUAUUGGACCUGGAUGCGUCGUGGAAGAUGGUGUGAGGCUCUCCCGAUGCACGGUGAUGCGUGGUGUACGCAUUAAGAAGCAUGCGUGCAUCUCAAACAGCAUUAUUGGCUGGCAUUCAACGGUCGGACAAUGGGCACGCAUAGAGAACAUGACUAUCCUGGGAGAAGACGUACAUGUAGGUGACGAGGUCUACAGCAAUGGCGGUGUUGUUCUCCCGCACAAGGAGAUCAAGUCAAGCAUCCUGAAGCCUGAGAUCGUCAUGUGA